CGCCAGACUCCUACGGGAGGCAGCAGUGGGGAAUAUUGCACAAUGGGGGAAACCCUGAUGCAGCGACGCCGCGUGAGUGAAGAAGUAUUUCGGUAUGUAAAGCUCUAUCAGCAGGGAAGAAAAUGACGGUACCUGAUUAAGAAGCCCCGGCUAACUACGUGCCAGCAGCCGCGGUAAUACGUAGGGGGCAAGCGUUAUCCGGAUUUACUGGGUGUAAAGGGAGCGUAGACGGCAGCGCAAGUCUGAAGUGAAAGCCCGGGGCCCAACCCCGGAACUGCUCUGGAAACUGUGCGGCUAGAGUGCUGGAGGGGCAGGCGGAAUUCCUAGUGUAGCGGUGAAAUGCGUAGAUAUUAGGAGGAACACCAGUGGCGAAGGCGGCCUGCUGGACAGUAACUGACGUUGAGGCUCGAAAGCGUGGGGAGCAAACAGGAUUAGAUACCCUGGUAG
rnacentral:rRNA from 1 species